UACGUAGGGGGCAAGCGUUGUCCGGAAUUAUUGGGCGUAAAGCGCGUGUAGGCGGUCCGAUAAGUCGGCUGUGAAAGUCCAGGGCUCAACUCUGGAAUGCCGGCCGAUACUGUCGGACUAGAGUCCGGAAGAGGCAAGUGGAAUUCCCGGUGUAGCGGUGAAAUGCGCAGGAUAAUCGGGAGGAACACCAAUGCGAAGGCAGCUUGCUGGGACGGCAUGACGCUGAGACGCGAAAGCGUGGGGAGCGAACAGG
rnacentral:rRNA from 1 species